AGUUCGAUUAUGAAACUCAGAUUGAACGCUGGCGGGAUGCUUUACACAUGCAAGUCGAACGGCAGCACGGACUUCGGUCUGGUGGCAGCUGAGUGAUGGCGAACGGGUGAGUAAUGUAUCCGGAACGUGCCUAGUAGCCAGGGAUAACUACGCGAAAGCGUAGCUAAUACUACAUACGCCCUUCGGGGAAGCGGGAGACCUUCGGGCCUCGCACUAUUAGAGCGGCCGAUAUCGGAUUAGCUAGUUGGUGGGGUAACGGCUCACCAAGGCGACGAUCCCGUAGCUGGUUUGAGGACGACCAGCCACACUGGGACUGAGACACGGCUUGAACUCUACGGGGAGGCAGCAGUGAAAUUUUGGACAAUGGAAACCCUGAUCCAGCCAUCCCGCGUGUGCGAUGAAGGCCUUCAGGUUGUAAAGCACUUUUGGCAGGAAAGAAACGGCACGGGAUAAUACCCCGUGCAACUGACGGUACCUGCAGAAUAAGCACCGGCUAACUACGUGCCAGCAGCCGCGGUAAUACGUAGGGUGCAAGCGUUAAUCAGGUGCAGUAAAGCGUGCGCAGGCGGUUCGGAAAGAAAGAUGUGAAAUCCCAGAGCCCAACUUUGGAACUGCAUUUUUAACUACCGAGCUAGAGUGUGUCAGGGAGGUGGAAUUCGCGAUGUAGCAGUGAAAUACGUAGAUAUGCGGAGGAACACCGAUGGCGAAGGCAACCUCCUGGGAUAACACUGACAGCUCAUGCACGAAAAGCGUGGGGAGCAAACAGGAUUAGAUACCCUGGUAGUCCACGCCCUAAACGAUGUCAACUAGCUGUUCGGGGCCUUCGGGCCUUGGUAGCGCAGCUAACGCGUGAAGUUGACCGCCUGGGAGUACGGUCGCAAGAUUAAAACUCAAGGAAUUGACGGGGACCCGCACAAGCGGUGGAUGAUGUGGAUUAAUUCGAUGCAACGCGAAAAACCUUACCUACCCUUGACAUGUCUGGAAUCCCGAAGAGAUUUAGGGUGCUCGCAAGAGAACCGGAACACAGGUGCUGCACUUGGCUGUCGUCAGCUCGUGUCGUGAGAUGUUGGGUUAAGUCCCGCAACGAGCGCAACCCUUGUCAUUAGUUGCUACGAAGGGCACUCUAAUGAGACUGCCGGUGACAAACCGGGGAAGGUGGGGAUGACGUCAAGUCCUCAUGGCCCUUAUGGGUAGGGCUUCACGUCAUACAAUGGUCGGGACAGGGGUCGCCAACCCGCGAAGGGGAGCCAAUCCCAGAAACCCGAUCGUAGUCCGGAUCGCAGUCUGCAACUCGACUGCGUGAAGUCGGAAUCGCUAGUAAUCGCGGAUCAGCAUGUCGCGGUGAAGAUACGUUCCCGGGUCUUGUACACACCGCCCGUCACACCAUGGGAGUGGGUUUUACCAGAAGUAGUUAGCCUAACCGUAAGGAGGCGAUUACCACGGUAGGAUUCAUGACUGGGGUGAAGUCGUAACAAGGUAG
rnacentral:rRNA from 1 species